rnacentral:rRNA from 1 species
GACAGCCGCGGAUCUUCUUCCGCAGCGAGUCGCCGCCCCCCAAAUGACUUGGCGGCCUCGUCGCGGCCCUCCUCUGCGUAGUAUAGCACACCUCGCAACAGGAGCCCGGCGAAUGGCCACUGCCGUAAAACCCCCCAACUUUUUCAGAGUUGACCUCGAAUCAGGUAGGAA